rnacentral:rRNA from 1 species
CCUACGGGAGGCAGCAGUAGGGAAUCUUUCACAAUGGGCGAAAGCCUGAUGGAGCAACGCCGCGUGCAGGAUGAAGGCCUUCGGGUUGUACACUGCUUUUAUAAGCGAGCAAUAUGAUGGUAACUUAUGAAUAAGGAUCGGCUAACUACGUGCCAGCAGCCGCGGUCAUACGUAGGAUCCGAGCAUUAUCCGGAGUGACUGGGUGUAAAGAGUUGCGUAGGUGGCAUAAUAAGUAGCUAGUGAAAUCUGGUGGCUCAACCAUUCAGACUAUUAGCUAAACUGUUAAGCUCGAGACCGUUAGGGGUAACUGGAAUUUCUAGUGUAGGAGUGAAAUCCGUAGAUAUUAGAAGGAACACCAAUAGCGUAGGCAGGUUGCUGGGACGGUUCUGACACUAAGGCACGAAAGCGUAGGGAGCAAACGGGAUUAGAUACCCCUGUAGUU